GACGAACGCUGGCGGCGUGCUUAACACAUGCAAGUCGAACGAAGUGGCGAACGGGUGAGUAACGCGUAAUCAACCUGCCCUUCAGAGGGGGACAAAAGUUGGAAACGACUGCUAAUACCGCAUACUGAAGGAGGGGAUGGGGUGGGAUGAGCUAGUUGGAGGGGUAACGGCCCACCAAGGCGAUGAUCAGUAGCCGGGCUGGGAGGAUGGACGGCCACAAUGGGAAUGAGAAACGGCUCAAGCGCCUACGGGAGGGAGCAAGGGGGAAACUUCCGCCAUGGGGGGAAGUCUGAAGGCGCAAAGCCGCGGGGGUGAUGACGGCCUUCGGGUUGUAAAGCUCUGUUAAGCGGGACGCGGUACCGGCAGAGAAAGCCACGGCUAACUACGUGCCAGCAGCCGCGGUAAUUC
rnacentral:rRNA from 1 species